rnacentral:rRNA from 1 species
UACGGAGGGUGCGAGCGUUGUCCGGAAUCACUGGGCGUAAAGGGCGCGUAGGCGGCGCGAGUAGUCAACGGUGAAAGCCCGGGGCUCAACCCCGGGUCGGCCGUCGAUACUCUCGUGCUUGAGCACUGUAGAGGCAGGUGGAAUUCCGGGUGUAGCGGUGGAAUGCGUAGAGAUCCGGAAGAACACCGGUGGCGAAGGCGGCCUGCUGGGCAGUUUAGCUGACACUGAGGCGCGACAGCGUGGGGAGCAAACAGGG